GACGAACGCUGGCGGCGUGCUUAACACAUGCAAGUCGAACGGAAAGGCCCUGCUUUUGUGGGGUGCUCGAGUGGCGAACGGGUGAGUAACACGUGAGUAACCUGCCCUUGACUUUGGGAUAACUUCAGGAAACUGGGGCUAAUACCGGAUAGGAGCUCCUGCUGCAUGGUGGGGGUUGGAAAGUUUCGGCGGUUGGGGAUGGACUCGCGGCUUAUCAGCUUGUUGGUGGGGUAGUGGCUUACCAAGGCUUUGACGGGUAGCCGGCCUGAGAGGGUGACCGGCGACAUUGGGACUGAGAUACGGCCCAGACUCGUACGGGAGGCAGAAGUGGGGAAUAUUGCACAAUGGGCGGAAGCGUGAUGCAGCAACGCCGCGUGCGGGAUGACGGCCUUCGGGUUGUAAACCGCUUUCGCCUGUGACGAAGCGUGAGUGACGGUAAUGGGUAAAGAAGCACCGGCUAACUACGUG
rnacentral:rRNA from 1 species